GACGUAGGGGACGAGCGUUGUCCGGAUUCAUUGGGCGUAAAGCGCGCGUAGGCGGUUUGGUAAGUCGGAUGUGAAAACCAGGGCUCAACCCUGGGAUGCCGACCGAUACUGUCGGACUAGAGUUCGGAAGAGGCGAGUGGAAUUCCCGGUGUAGCGGUGAAAUGCGCAGAUAUCGGGAGGAACACCAACGGCGAAGGCAGCACUCUGGGCUGGAACUGACGCUGAGGAGCGAAAGCGUGGGUAGCAAACAGG
rnacentral:rRNA from 1 species